AUGUCCCAUUAUCCUUUCGAUCAUAGUUUUCACCCUAGGAUGAGAAGAUGUCUUUUGAGGCUAGCCACUGAUUUCAGGUUGGACAAUAUGAUAGUUCCAUGGGACGAACUCACCGGUAGUGACACCAUAAUGAAUGAGUUGGCCCACGAAUUACGUAGGUCUGGAUGGCCUGAAUGGACUUAUGAGGAGGUACGUAUACAACUUCUUAGGUUGCAUGAAAGGUGGAAGAAGGUAGUGGAGCCGAAGAGUGAAACUUUCAGAAGGACUGCAACAAAGCAUCCAUUUUUAUGGACUGAAGAAAGCGAGGUCGACGAUGAUAUCUUCAUGCAGCCGCUUCCGGGUUCUACAUCCUCGAAGGACAAGAGUUCUGCAUCGUCCAAGGGCAAGAGUUCUGCAUCAAUGGAGGAUGACGAUGAUUCCUUCAAGUAG
rnacentral:rRNA from 1 species